rnacentral:rRNA from 1 species
CCUUUGACGUUAGCGGCGGACGGUGAGUAACACGUGGGUAACCUACCUAUAAGACUGGGAUAACUUCGGGAAACCGGAGCUAAUACCGGAUAAUAUUUCGAACCGCAUGGUUCGAUAGUGAAAGGUGGUUUUGCUAUCACUUAUAGAUGGACCCGCGCCGUAUUAGCUAGUUGGUAAGGUAACGGCUUACCAAGGCGACGAUACGUAGCCGACCUGAGAGGGUGAUCGGCCACACUGGAACUGAGACACGGUCCAGACUCCUACGGGAGGCAGCAGCU